CAAUAGCGUAUAUUAAAGUUGUUACAGUUAAAAAGCUCGUAGUUGAAUUUUUGCUUGCCGCCGAUGUCGGAACUUCCGUACGUUCGGCGGCGUGCAUCCUUGGGUGGAACCUGUGUGGCAUUAGGUUGUCGUGCAGGGGAUGCUCAUCGUUUACUGUGAAAAAAUUAGAGUGUUCAAAGCAGGCUUACGCCGUUGAAUAUAUUAGCAUGGAAUAAUAAGAUAGGACCUUGGUACUAUUUUGUUGGUUUGCGCACCGAGGUAAUGAUUAACAGGGACAGUUGGGGGUAUUCGUAUUCCAUUGUCAGAGGUGAAAUUCUUGGAUUUCUGGAAGACGAACUACUGCGAAAGCAUUUACCAAGGAUGUUUUCAUUAA
rnacentral:rRNA from 1 species